AUUGAACGCUGGCGGCAGGCCUAACACAUGCAAGUCGAGCGGAUGAAGGGAGCUUGCUCCUGGAUUCAGCGGCGGACGGGUGAGUAAUGCCUAGGAAUCUGCCUGGUAGUGGGGGAUAACGUCCGGAAACGGGCGCUAAUACCGCAUACGUCCUGAGGUAGAAAGUGGGGGAUCUUCGGACCUCACGCUAUCAGAUGAGCCUUGGUCGGAUUAGCUAGUUGGUGGGGUAAAGGCCUACCAAGGCGACGAUCCGUAACUGGUCUGAGAGGAUGAUCAGUCACACUGGAACUGAGACACGGUCCAGACUCCUACGGGAGGCAGCAGUGGGGAAUAUUGGACAAUGGGCGAAAGCCUGAUCCAGCCAUGCCGCGUAUGUGAAGAAGGUCUUCGGAUUGUAAAGCACUUUAAGUUGGGAGGAAGGGCAGUAAGUUAAUACCUUGCUGUUUUGACGGUACCAACAGAAUAAGCACCGGCUAACUUCGUG
rnacentral:rRNA from 1 species